rnacentral:rRNA from 1 species
AGUGAACGCUGGCGGUAGGCCUAACACAUGCAAGUCGAACGGCAGCACAGUAAGAGCUUGCUCUUACGGGUGGCGAGUGGCGGACGGGUGAGGAAUACAUCGGAAUCUACUUUUUCGUGGGGGAUAACGUAGGGAAACUUACGCUAAUACCGCAUACGACCUACGGGUGAAAGCAGGGGAUCUUCGGACCUUGCGCGAUUGAAUGAGCCGAUGUCGGAUUAGCUAGUUGGCGGGGUAAAGGCACACCAAGGCGACGAUCCGUAGCUGGUCUGAGAGGAUGAUCAGCCACACUGGAACUGAGACACGGUCCAGACUCCUGCGGGAGGCAGCAGUGGGGAAUAUUGGACAAUGGGCGCAAGCCUGAUCCAGCCAUACCGCGUGGGUGAAGAAGGCCUUCGGGUUGUAAAGCCCUUUUGUUGGGAAAGAAAAGCAGCAGGUUAAUACCCCGCUGUUCUGACGGUACCCAAAGAAUAAGCACCGGCUAACUUCGUG